rnacentral:rRNA from 1 species
CCGGACCUGACUGCUAUCGGAUUGGUACUAAGCCAUGCGAGUCGUUGUAGCAAUACAAGGCGGACGGCUCAGUAACACGUAGUCAACCUAACCUAUGGACGUGGAUAACCUCGGGAAACUGAGAAUAAACCGCGAUAGAUCAUUAUGCCUGGAAUGGCUUAUGGUUCAAACAAUUUAUUGCCGUAGGAUGGGACUGCGGCCUAUCAGCUUGUUGGUGAGGUAAUGGCCCACCAAGGCUAUAACAGGUACGGGCUCUGAGAGGAGAAGCCCGGAGAUGGGUACUGAGACACGGACCCAGGCCCUAUGGGGCGCAGCAGGCGAGAAACCUUAGCAAUGUGCGAAAGCACGACUAGGUUAAUCCGAGUGAUUUCUGUUGAAGAAAUCUUUUGUCAGUCGUAAAACCACAGACGAAUAAGGGGUGGGCAAGUCUGGUGCCAGCCGCCGCGGUAAUACCAGCACCUCGAGUGGUCAGGAGGUUUAUUGGGCCUAAAGCAUCCGUAGCCGGCUUUGCAAGUCUCCGGUUAAAUCCACCUGCUCAACAGAUGGGCCGCUGGAGAUACUACAGAGCUAGGGAGUGGGAGAGGCAGACGGUAUUCAGUGGGUAGGGGUAAAAUUCUCUGAUCCAUUGAGGACCACCAGUGGCGAAGGCGGUCUGCCAGAACACGUUCGACGGUGAGGGAUGAAAGCUGGGGGAGCAAACCGGAUUAGAUACCCGGGUAGUCCCAGCUGUAAACGAUGCAAACUCGGUGAUGCAUUGGCUUAUGGCCAAUGCAGUGCCGCAGGGAAGCCGUUAAGUUUGCCGCCUGGGAAGUACGGACGCAAGUCUGAAACUUAAAGGAAUUGGCGGGGGAGCACCACAAGGGUGAAGCCUGCGGUUCAUUGGAUUCAACGCCGG